GAUCAUGGCUCAGAUUGAACGCUGGCGGCAUGCCUUACACAUGCAAGUCGAACGGCAGCGCGGACUUCGGUCUGGCGGCGAGUGGCGAACGGGUGAGUAAUAUAUCGGAACGUACCCAGUAGCGGGGGAUAACUACUCGAAAGAGUAGCUGAUACCGCAUACGCCCUAAGGGGGAAAGGGGGGGAUCUUCGGACCUCUCACUAUUGGAGCGGCCGAUAUCGGAUUAGCUAGUUGGUGAGGUAAAGGCUCACCAAGGCUGCGAUCCGUAGCUGGUUUGAGAGGACGACCAGCCACACUGGGACUGAGACACGGCCCAGACUCCUACGGGAGGCAGCAGUGGGGAAUUUUGGACAAUGGGGGCAACCCUGAUCCAGCCAUCCCGCGUGUGCGAUGAAGGCCUUCGGGUUGUAAAGCACUUUUGGCAGGAAAGAAAUCGCACGGGAUAAUACCCUGUGUGGAUGACGGUACCUGCAGAAUAAGCACCGGCUAACUACGUG
rnacentral:rRNA from 1 species